GACGAGGGGUCCUAGCGUUGUUCGGAAUCACUGGGCGUAAAGCGUUUGUAGGCGGCCCUGUAAGUCGGGUGUGAAAUCCCACGGCUCAACCGUGGAAGUGCAUUCGAAACUGCAGGGCUUGAAUAUGGUAGAGGACAGUAGAAUUGCUGGUGUAGUGGUGAAAUACGUAGAUAUCAGGAGGAACACCGGUGGCGAAGGCGCACAUCUGGCCCGAUACUGACGCUGAGGCGCGAAAGCUAGGGGAGCAAACGGG
rnacentral:rRNA from 1 species